GACGAAGCCCUCUCGCUCGCCUGAGCUCAUCUUUAGUUCAAAUAAGUUUUGCUCUUUUGUUCUGUUUUGCUUGUUAAAAAUUAAUCUUUAAGGAACCCGGAAGAGAUGGCGGAAUCGGGCAUAGAAUCACCGGCUGCCCCGGAAUGGCUGGUUAAGCUGGAGAAUCGCCGGGAACAGAUAAAGGCCACGAAACUGUCGCACGAAAGUGGAAACGGAGCACCGUGCAAAACGUGUGGAAGUGCCUGUCCCGGACUGGAUCUACACUUUUGGCGAAAAAUCUGCCGGAACUGCAAAUGCCGCAAGGAGCAACACGAUUGCAUCGACGAUGAUGUCAGCGGUUGGGCGCAGUUCGAAAUUCUCGGCGCUAUACGCUCUAAACCAGCCUACAUUCGCAUCUCGGAGCUAACCGAUAAACCGGUACAACUGACUUGGGUACCACCGAACGUAACCCCGGAACUGGCCACCGAUUAUAUGCGCACACUCGGUGAACAGAACAUCCCGAUCGUGGGCAGUGAGGCGGCCGAAAAGCGCAAACAACAGCUCGAAUACCAGGUACCGGCGCACGAUCUCGACACCAACCUGUGCCACAAUCUGACCCCGUACGAGGCCGGCCAGCUAAGCGAUUACGUAGAAAAGAUCAAGGCGCACUGCGUUGGCCAGGGUACAGUCGUACGGGUUGGCGGUGACAAUGGAGGGUUGCUGCAGUUUGGAACGAUCGUACAGCAAAACGAUCAACAGCAACCGAAGCAAUCUACCAGCGGCUCCGUCACGAAUGGCAACGAGUCGGAAGCCGGCAGGCGACCAGAUUUCAUGGAAAGUCCGAUACUGUCCGAUAAAAUGAAGUACAAACUCAACCUGAUGGGCAUCGUUAGCUCCGAAGCGGUCCAGCAAGCCAUGCGGUACGAUCCGGCCGUCGUUCUAUCAGCCGCCGGGUUGGCUCAAUACCCCGAACCGAUCGUCAAGUUCCACCGUGAAUAUCAGACGAAUCCGAAGUUCCGUGCCGAAAUGGACCGCUUCGUGGAGUCAGCUGGAUCCAGUCCGCAGGUUGCCGGUAGCGCUGGACAAUCAAUCCCCGGUACCGCUGGUACCGGUCCAAUGGUUCCAUCGGGAAGCAACGACUCGGGAUUCGCUUCGAUCCCCGUCAGUCCAGCACAAGAUGAUGACCAAUCGGUGGCUGGUCGUCGGUUGAUCGGUGCCAUGGAAGCGAUGCAAAUUGCACCUUCGACCGCUCCAACAAAGCAGCAGGCUGCGCUUAUCGGCAAUGAAGCGAUCGGGGUAACCGUUGCUACGCAAUGCUGUACCGGUUGCACGUUGCCUAUCAAGGCCGGUGACGUGGCGGUAAAGGUGGAUCGGGCUAGCAACACCGAGCAUGCGAUAUGGCACCCGCAGUGCUUCAAGUGUGAAAGUUGUGGCGAACUGCUAGCCGAUUUGGUGUACUUCUACCAUGCCGGUGGUUUGUACUGUGGCCGUGAUUUGGCGGCCAUCCUAAAGAUUCCACGCUGCGCUGCCUGUGAUGAGCUGAUCUUCACGAAGGAGUACACGGCAGCCGAGGGGGCAACGUUCCAUGUGCGGCACUUCUGUUGCUACCACUGCGAUGGUCCGCUGGCCGGGCAGCAGUACGUCAUGGAUGAACGGUCAGCGCAACCGCUCUGCUUACCGUGCUACGAGGCACACUACGCGCAAACGUGCAGCACGUGCGGCCGUUGUAUCGGCCCCACAGAGCAGGGUGUCGGAUGGGAUAAGAUCCACUGGCACAAGGAGUGCUUCCGGUGCAGCGGUAAGCACUGCCAGAAAUCGCUCAUCGGUGGACGGUUCUGUGUGAAAGCAAAUCGACCGUACUGCAGUGCCCAGUGCACUAAGGAUAUCUAACGUAUGUAUCCAUCAAUGUGUGAUGCUUAUUCCAUUAGCACACAAUAUGGCCAUAAGGAAAAGAGGUUGCUAGUGAAGGGACGAGAUUUCAAAUCCGGUGCAACUGGUAGCAUUUCUAAAGCUUUUAUCAAAAACGUUACAAACAAAAAGUAUUGAAGAAGACUUUAGAACACAUAAGCUUUAUAUUUAUAUUUUGAAUUUUAAAAAAGGACCACCAUUACCUAGUACUAUGAAGGAUAUAUUUUUUCUAGAAACAUAUAUGAUGCCAACGAACAAAAAGAACGUAGAACCUAAGCACCUUGUGGAAGGAAAAAUUACUAAGCAAUCAAAGCAAACGCCGAAAGGAUCUUUUUAUCUCAGAGUAGCUUGUCGAUUCGAAUCACGAUUUUACCGGACUGACGAAUGUUUUUUCAUGAUACAAUAUUUGCUACAACUACAAUAGUGGUGCAUUUUAUACACACUAGAAUAUAAGCGAUCACGAGUGCCGACUGUCCACUAUUGCGUAGAGGUAUAUAGUAUGUGACACGAAACAAUAACAGGAGUACAAUUUUACACAUUUUUCAUUUAACGCUAAGCAUCCCU